UCACAAAUACGCGCUUGUAUUUUUGUAUAAUGUUUCUUUCCCCUGGCUUGCCGGCAGAGUGUUUGUUGCAAAAGCUGUGGGUCCCAGCCACCCACUACCUGCCCCAACCUGGGUAGGUGAGCGGGGAGGGAUAGAGGGGGUCCAUGUCUGAACAUAUCUGAGGGGCUGUUACCUCUUCCCCCCGGCUGGGGAGUUGGUGGGGGUGUGAAGAGUAUCCGCAUUUGGAUGACAGCUCCGUACAAACUGCUCCCAUUGCCCAGCGGACUCCCCGUGAUAACCUGACUUGGAGCUCUGCAGCCUACUUCAGACACGGAUCUGCGAAUAUUGUUCGGCAAAUGGCAGCAAUGCAUUUUUCUCUUCGUGGGAAAUAUAAAUCUUAACUGUUUACAUGUCCGAUCCGAAAUGCAUCGUCGACUUCACUUUACACUGAUUUUAGAGAAGUUUUUUGGAUGUUUAAAAUUGCACUCUCUAUUUAAUAUUUGGCAACCAUGGACUCAGGACUACCAGUGCCAUACUGCAAAAUAACAAGAGGAGAUCAAUAUUUGGAGAUUACAGAUCUCUACCUGAGCACCAACCUCUGUCAUAACAUAAUUGUAAAAUAAUUGUUUUCCAGAAGACAGUGGUUCAAAUUCCAAUUAUUGUAAAAUUACAGUUUAAAAACAAAUCAUUUGUUCAACUCAUUAUAUGUUUCAAAUUUUGGAAAUGUAGUGAUUCUCUCAUUGCCUCUUUUGUAAGAUUAGAAAUUUGAUUGUGGUGAAAGACUAAAGCUUAGUGAAUGCAUUUUAAGGCAUUUGUACAGAAUGCUGCUUGGACUGAAUAGAUGCAUUUAAAGGAAAGCUAGUCAAGCAUUUGAGGAAUAAGGUGGUUAUGAUGGUAGUUUUAGAUUAAGAAUGAUGGAAGGAGGUUCAAGUGGGUCUGAAUGGCCUGUCUGUGCUGUAUAUUUGAUGUAAUCCUAUGUAAUAAUGAUGCUGCUCAAUUGCACCACUUAAGGUGUGCCAUUGGUGUAUUAUAAUUGAACCGCAGAGAGAGUGAGAGCUGCACACUGACUGAGGUGCAUUUGUCCAGUAUAUUAUCAAGCAAUGAGGACAGACAAGGGAUUGAUACUUGGCCUACUGAAUCCACACAGGAGACUCACUGAAGAAAAGACAACGUCUGUUGGAUUUGUGGGUUUUGCUUUGUGGGGUUGCUGACCCAGUGAAGUUUAGCACCUGUUGGUUGACAGUUGGUUAAUUAGAUUUUGUUACAUUUAUUGUAACAGUAAGAUACCAAGUGUACUCAGUGAAACAAUCUUUUGAUUCAUUUGAUACAAAGCACCUGGUGUAAGGGAGACGUCCUGUGUUUAUCACCAGGCCAUCUCUUCCAAUCUAUUGUACUAUAAAAUAGGUUCAGGAGGUGGGACAGAUGAAACUUUCAAAACAUAUUAAGUAAAAAUAAUAAAUAGUCAUCAUUCAAUAAA